rnacentral:rRNA from 1 species
UUGAACGCUGGCGGCAGGCCUAACACAUGCAAGUCGAACGGUAACAGGAAGAAGCUUGCUUCUUUGCUGACGAGUGGCGGACGGGUGAGUAAUGUCUGGGAAACUGCCUGAUGGAGGGGGAUAACUACUGGAAACGGUAGCUAAUACCGCAUAACGUCGCAAGACCAAAGAGGGGGACCUUCGGGCCUCUUGCCAUCGGAUGUGCCCAGAUGGGAUUAGCUAGUAGGUGGGGUAACGGCUCACCUAGGCGACGAUCCCUAGCUGGUCUGAGAGGAUGACCAGCCACACUGGAACUGAGACACGGUCCAGACUCCUACGGGAGGCAGCAGUGGGGAAUAUUGCACAAUGGGCGCAAGCCUGAUGCAGCCAUGCCGCGUGUAUGAAGAAGGCCUUCGGGUUGUAAAGUACUUUCAGCGGGGAGGAAGGGAGUAAAGUUAAUACCUUUGCUCAUUGACGUUACCCGCAGAAGAAGCACCGGCUAACUCCGUGCCAGCAGCCGCGGUAAUACGGAGGGUGCAAGCGUUAAUCGGAAUUACUGGGCGUAAAGCGCACGCAGGCGGUUUGUUAAGUCAGAUGUGAAAUCCCCGGGCUCAACCUGGGAACUGCAUCUGAUACUGGCAAGCUUGAGUCUCGUAGAGGGGGGUAGAAUUCCAGGUGUAGCGGUGAAAUGCGUAGAGAUCUGGAGGAAUACCGGUGGCGAAGGCGGCCCCCUGGACGAAGACUGACGCUCAGGUGCGAAAGCGUGGGGAGCAAACAGGAUUAGAUACCCUGGUAGUCCACGCUGUAAACGAUGUCGACUUGGAGGUUGUGCCCUUGAGGCGUGGCUUCCGGAGCUAACGCGUUAAGUCGACCGCCUGGGGAGUACGGCCGCAAGGUUAAAACUCAAAUGAAUUGACGGGGGCCCGCACAAGCGGUGGAGCAUGUGGUUUAAUUCGAUGCAACGCGAAGAACCUUACCUGGUCUUGACAUCCACGGAAGUUUUCAGAGAUGAGAAUGUGCCUUCGGGAACCGUGAGACAGGUGCUGCAUGGCUGUCGUCAGCUCGUGUUGUGAAAUGUUGGGUUAAGUCCCGCAACGAGCGCAACCCUUAUCCUUUGUUGCCAGCGGUCCGGCCGGGAACUCAAAGGAGACUGCCAGUGAUAAACUGGAGGAAGGUGAGGAUGACGUCAAGUCAUCAUGGCCCUUACGACCAGGGCUACACACGUGCUACAAUGGCGCAUACAAAGAGAAGCGACCUCGCGAGAGCAAGCGGACCUCAUAAAGUGCGUCGUAGUCCGGAUUGGAGUCUGCAACUCGACUCCAUGAAGUCGGAAUCGCUAGUAAUCGUGGAUCAGAAUGCCACGGUGAAUACGUUCCCGGGCCUUGUACACACCGCCCGUCACACCAUGGGAGUGGGUUGCAAAAGAAGUAGGUAGCUUAACCUUCGGGAGGGCGCUUACCACUUUGUGAUUCAUGACUGGGGUG